rnacentral:rRNA from 1 species
UUAGGAAUUUUGCGCAAUGGGGGAAACCCUGACGCAGCAACGCCGCGUGGAGGAUGAAGGCUUUCGGGUUGUAAACUCCUUUCGACAGGGAAAAAACAAAUGAUGGUACCUGGAGAAGAAGCACCGGCUAACUACGUGCCAGCAGCCGCGGUAAUACGUAGGGUGCAAGCGUUACUCGGAAUUAUUGGGCGUAAAGCGCGUGUAGGUGGUCAUGUAAGUCUGAUGUGAAAUCCCUGGACUCAAUUCAGGAACUGCAUUGGAUACUGCAUGGCUAGAGUAUGGGAGAGGUAGGCGGAAUUCCUGGUGUAGAGGUGAAAUUCGUAGAUAUCAGGAGGAACAACAGUGGCGAAGGCGGCUUACUGGACCAUAACUGACACUGAGACGCGACAGUGUGGGGAGCAAACAGG